AUGGGAGAAGCUUUGGCUCUAACAUUCGGAUUAUCUCUCGCAUAUAAGGCGGGUUGCAAUCGCUUUGGCUCUAACAAUAUGAAAGUCAUUGAUACCAUGAAGAAUGGAGGAUGUUCAGCAGGAGUGGCGGCAACAAUUUUUGAUGAUUGUUAUUUUUUAGCAUGUGAUUUUCCUCUCACUAGUUUUGGGUAUUGUAAUAGGGUAGCAAACAAGGUAGCUCAUGAACUUGCCAGGUUAGCUAGAUUUUCUGAGACAAGGGGACGGUUUGAGGAGCCUUUGGUCGAAAUUGUACAACCUCUAAUAGACGAUGUAACUGUUAUUUCUAAUUAA
rnacentral:rRNA from 1 species